ACUGCUCAGUAACACGUGGAUAACCUGCCCUUGGGUCCGGCAUAACCCCGGGAAACUGGGGAUAAUACCGGAUAACGCACAUAUGCUGGAAUGCUUUAUGCGUAAAAUGGAUUCGUCUGCCCAAGGAUGGGUCUGCGGCCUAUCAGGUAGUAGUGGGUGUAAUGUACCUACUAGCCAACAACGGGUACGGGUUGUGAGAGCAAGAGCCCGGAGAUGGAUUCUGAGACAUGAAUCCAGGCCCUACGGGGCGCAGCAGGCGCGAAAACUUUACAAUGCGGGAAACCGUGAUAAGGGGACACCGAGUGCCAGCAUCAUAUGCUGGCUGUCCGGGUGUGUAAAAUACACCUGUCAGCAAGGGCCGGGCAAGACCGGUGCCAGCCGCCGCGGUAACACCGGCGGCCCGAGUGGUGAUCGUGAUUAUUGGGUCUAAAGGGUCCGUAGCCGGUUUGGUCAGUCCUCCGGGAAAUCUGACGGCUCAACCGUUAGGCUUUCGGGGGAUACUGCCAGGCUUGGAACCGGGAGAGGUAAGAGGUACUACAGGGGUAGGAGUGAAAUCUUGUAAUCCCUGUGGGACCACCUGUGGCGAAGGCGUCUUACCAGAACGGGUUCGACGGUGAGGGACGAAAGCUGGGGGGCACGAACCGGAUUAGAUACCCGGGUAGUCCCAGCCGUAAACGAUGCUCGCUAGGUGUCAGGCAUGGCGCGACCGUGUCUGGUGCCGCAGGGAAGCCGUGAAGCGAGCCACCUGGGAAGUACGGCCGCAAGGCUGAAACUUAAAGGAAUUGGCGGGGGAG
rnacentral:rRNA from 1 species